GACGUGGGAUAUCUGAUCUGUAGAUUAAACCUCAUGACAUAGGACAUCUGAUCUCUAGAUUGAACCUCAUGGAUAUUUACUGUUAAACACUUAUUUUUCAAGUUCAACUUCAUGAAUAUCUGAUGUGAAGCACUUAAAUCUAUGGAUUGAACAUGGCAACAUCGACUCAAGGCGAUUUAUGUUCUAAGUCAUAUUCUUGGGCAACAUACCCUU
rnacentral:lncRNA from 1 species